AUUGAACGCUGGCGGCAGGCUUAACACAUGCAAGUCGAGCGAGCGGCGGACGGGUGAGUAAUGUCUGGGAAACUGCCUGAUGGAGGGGGAUAACUACUGGAAACGGUCGCUAAUACCGCAUACCAUCAGAUGUGCCCAGGUGGGAUUAGGUAGUAGGUGGGGUAAUGGCUCACCUAGGCGACGAGCCCUAGCUGGUCUGAGCGGAUGACCAGCCACACGGGAACGGAGACACGGUCCAGACUCCUACGUGAGGCAGCAGUGGGGAAUAUUGCACAAUGGGCGCAAGCCUGAUGCAGCCAUGCCGCGUGUGUGAAGAAGGCCUUCGGGUUGUAAAGCACUUUCAGCGAGGAGGCGUUAAUCGCAGAAGAAGCACCGGCUAACUCCGUGUCAGCAGCCGCGGUAAUAC
rnacentral:rRNA from 1 species